CAGAGACGGACUAAUCCGCCCACAGUGAAAACGUUUCAGACAUCUCAGUACAUGAGAAUCUAGCUACACAGACAGAGACUAGGAGGGAGAGGACAUGUGAGGCAAUAAAGAUUGACACAAUUAUGAGGACAAAAGGGGAUUUUUUGAAAUGAUGGUUAAGAGUGAUUUUAUUUUAAUCACCAUCUUUUUUUUUUAUCUCCAUGCCCCUCAACCUUGCAUUAGGACGUCAUGUGCUCUGCUCUCUCUACACCCUCCACCCCCACAUCAUCCCUCUCUCAUCCUCCCUCCUCUUCAUCUCUCUUCCAGUCAGACAGAGGCUUAUGUAGGUCAGUGCGUCUGGAUUCUGUCUGGAGCUGCAGAAAGCCUGAGAGCUCCAUGCCUGGUCCCCGUCGACCCCUGUAGAGGCUGCCCGAGCUGAGGACAACACUCCCUGGGCUACAAGAGGACAGAACUAGCCUGUCUGACCUGAUCCGCCCGAAGGAUGUCCCUGCAACGGAUGAAGAGGAUGAGGGAGGAGGGGGAUGCAGGGUGAUAUGGGGUGACUGAGUGAGAGAUCAGAUAGUUUAUUUGGUUAGCAUGCAGCUCUAAAUUGGUAUAUCUUUAUGGAGACAAGGCGUGGGAAACUGAACGGUGUUAACGCAGGAUAUGGGUGGUAUUGAAAUUGCAGUUGUCUUUGUGAUCUCGGUGAAGGGAAGCAAUGCGAGGGAUUUUUUUAAAAUGGAAAUGUUUCAUGCAAUGUUGCCUAUGCAUUCUAUGUACACCUCUUUCUACUCUCUGCCUAACCUAUUCAUUCUGCUUUAUUUCUGCAGCCCUAGGUCCUCCAUGUCUUCAAUCGUCGACGUUUCUGCAAAAAACCACAACAACUCAAGCAAACUACAAAUUCUGAUGGCAUGUCAUCCCCCAAAAAUAAAUAUGAAUUCUGUUUUCUGUCUUCUCUUGCAGUAUAUCCAUUUAUUUGAUGCUCCAUGGAUCCAGUUCUAUGCGAUGUCCUCUUCCAAAAACACUGAACGUCAAAAGUUCUAUUCCUCCAAGUCAUAUGCCGGAAGCCCUAUUGAUGAAACUAAAGAGCGCAAGGAUAUAAAAUUUUGCAAAAUAGAAAAAAGAUCUGUUGACGAACAUAUCUCCUGAUUCUGCUUUCCAUUUCCCCCGCUUCUCCUCUGCUCAUAUUUUCCGCUCCUUCCCACUCCACUGGCUUUUAGACAAUGCCCCCAAAAAAACGAUCGUUGUGUCAGAGAGUCUGAGAGUGGUUGAGUGCAUCUGUGAGAGUUGCUGAGUGUGUGAGUGAGUAUAUGUAUGUUUGUGAGUAAGUUUGGUAUGUGCGUAUUCAGUCUGCAGGAGCAAGAGUAUGUCACGCUCUCAUCAUCAGGUUAACAGCAUCAGGUCUCGUAUCUACAUGGAUAAACUGGUGUUUUGCUGGCUCUGUCUGCUGUGAAUUCCUGUGUGUGUGCUGAUUUUCGUUUUUCUGCAUUGCUGUGACACAGAAAUCAUCUUACCUGCCUCAUCAUCGCUAUCUGGGGCCAAAUUUUCCCAGUUUCCUUUAUUUGACUUAUUUGAUUUUUUUUUCCACGUUGACCUAAGCCCUUGGAUUACAGCAGCGAUGGAGGACUAAGAGAGGAAGGCUCAAAAGGAUUAUUUCUUCUCAACAACAAAUCUUUAAUGUCCUUUUUCCUCAUGCAUUGGAAUUAGUCUUGAUUCACCUGUGUUUUUUAUUGGUGUAUCAUCAAGGACACCCUCUCAAUUUAUCUUUGCAUUCACAUUACACUAAAUUGCCAUUUAUACUCUGUUGUAGGUCUAUGUAUCUAUGGCUCCAUGACUGUUACGUGCAUAAAUGGGAAAUGGAUGUAUAGGUUUUAAAAGGAAAAGAACUGGAGGAAGAAAGAAAACCAAAAAAAUGAUACUAUUUAGAGCUUUGUCAAAUGAAAGAAGAUUUCCAGUAUACAAAGUUGUACUUGGGGAGGCUGUGGCUCAGUUGGUAGAGUUGUUGUCUUUCAACCAUAAGGUUGAGGGUUAGAUCCCCAGUUCCUGCAACAACAUGUCCAAUGUGUCCUUGGAUUAACCCCAAAUUACUCUCACAGCUUUGUCAGUGGCAUAUGAAUGAGAUUAAUUACUUCUGAUAGUCUCACUACAUAGCAACCACUACAAUCAAUAUGUGAAUGUGUAGGUGUGACAUGUGGUGUAGAAGCACAUCUACAAUUGUAAAAUAUAAUGAAAAAUCAAGGCCUUAAAACCUCAAAAAGCUUCAGGGUAAUUACUGUAUAUUGGAUUGUAUUAUGUCUCCAUUUGUUUGUGACUUUACUGUUUUCUUCUUUACUAUCUCAAAGUAGGAUUCAUAUCUUGUCACUGAUGUACCACCAAAAGGAUUCAAAGUUUUAAGAACUGUAUGUUCCAUGGCAAUGUAACAAUAACAAAGAUUUUGUUGUCGUUGUGCAAGGGCUGACAGCAGUAGGAGGGUGAUCUGUUGAGAUGGCCACCUGCACUGUCUGCCACAUCCACACAAUAAACAGAGAUGAAAAACUGCCGAGAUGAGUCAUAGAGACAGAGAAAGGGACUGUGUGUAAUCAAAUCAGUCCUUAGUCUUCAGUUUUUCUGGAAAGGAACUUCCCAAUGGUUUAAGUUCUAUCAAUCCAUGAAAAGCUUCUAAUUCAGUUAGAGCUGGACACACAUAAAUAUAUUUAGACAGAAAAGCACACAGACACACACACAAACCUGCACACAUAUACACACACACACACACAGGCCUCAUUGUGGUUGACUGUAGCUCUAGUAAAUGGGUUUGUUUUAUUUAUUAUUUUUAUUAUUUUUUUCCCUUUAAUAGGAAGUUUUGGUGUCCAGAGGUUAGCAAACUUUUUUUCCCAUAAAAAUGAAAAGAUAACCAUUGAUUAUUAUUAUUAUUUUUUUUUAAUUGGUAAAAAAGCUCAACAUCAGUACAUCUUCCAUAAAAAUGAAAUGCCAUUGUGACUCUUGCUUGGAUCUCAUACACCAGAUAUGUAGCUCCAGUCUUACAUAACACUCCCUCAUAAUGACACCAACCCUUUGGGCAUCAACAGAGCUGAGACAAAUAUGCUGUAUUCUGGGUGAACACAUGGCUCAGACAGGACUGAAGCUGACAAAGCGACAGGUCAGUGUAAUUAAGCUCGGCAACCAAGGGCCUUGCAUGUGCUGCCUGAGAGCUGCGCCUCUCUCAUCAAGGUUGAGUUCUGACAUUUUUGUGUAUGACUUUUUACCCUGACAUAGAUAUAGUCAGGAAUUAAGAAUACACAUUGUUAGUGCACAAAUGACUUUUUUUGUAUGUAGAUCUAAUUAGACAAAAUAAAGACAGUUCAGCCUUUGAAAAAAAGGUAACUUAAA